rnacentral:rRNA from 1 species
UACGUAGGGAGCAAGCGUUGUCCGGAAUUACUGGGUGUAAAGGGAGCGCAGGCGGUAUGGCAAGUCAGAUGUGAAAACCCAGGGCCCAACCCUGGGACUGCAUUUGAAACUGCCAUACUGGAGUGCCGGAGAGGUAAGUGGAAUUCCUAGUGUAGCGGUGAAAUGCGUAGAUAUCAGGAGGAACACCGGUGGCGAAGGCGGCCUGCUGGACAGUAACUGACGUUGAGGCUCGAAAGCGUGGGGAGCAAAAAGG